AAAAUAUUUUUUUUAAGUCUGACUCAGUAGGGAUUUUUAUAAGCAUUCACCAUUACAUGUUUAGAUUAUAAAAUCAGGAUCUUAGUUUGCUAAUCAGCCUCAAAGUAGCUGGUAACAGAAUCUGCUUGUUUUGUUUCCAUGGUGUUGUCAAUGCUAUGAAGAAAUAAACUUUGAGUUUGUGGCAAAACUGGCUUGCAAACGUAUAGGGAAAAAAAUGAGUAAGACAGUGGCAUUUUUAUAUAAGUGGUUUGUGCAGAAAAAAUGUUGUUUCAGGUGUUCUUUUUCCUCACGUUAUGUAAAAUAAGGGCUUGUUUUUAUUUUUCAGAACUUUGUAGCACAAUCUUGAAAUAGAAGUACUUAUAACAUAUAACUGUCUAGGUAAGCAAGUAUUGUAAAUACAUUCUUCAUGCAUGUGUUUAUAGAUGACAAGGUAAAGAAGAUUAGCUUUUUAAUGUUAAAUUUCUAUUUGCUUCUAUGUGAAGCUUCGUGGUGAGAAGACAUGCAAACAAUUUCAGCUUCUGUGUGAUCAAAGUCUGAAGACGUGCAAAAAGGAAUACCGGGUAAGCAUUUUUUUAGCUCUUUGAAUUAAGAUAUUUUGAAAAUAUCUGUGUUUGAAUUGCAGAUUUUGAAAAUAGUUUCUCAACUGCAUCUUACAAUGUAAAAUGAAAGGAAAAAACAACCUUGUUGAAAUAGUGUUAAAUUGAACAUACAGGUUUUUGGAACUCCAUGCGUCAUUCCGCUGUCUCUGAAAAGUCCCGCAUCAAAGAUCCUGCAGAAAACUGAUGUUUCAGAAAUAGAUCAUUUUUCAGAAAAACAUCCCCGAAGUGAAAUAAAUCGGCAUUGUUCGCACAGGAAAACAGCUUCCUCAUACUCUCCUCUCUUUGUAUCAACAAAAUAAUUCAUCACUAGAGAAAGUUUUUAAGCUGCAGGUUAUUUAUGAAGGAGAAUUCAAAUGGUAUAGUUGGGCCUACUCAUUUGAACUGCGAUGCACCUAUCCUCCAGACUCUGAUUUAUCAAUCAGAGAAGUUAUUGGGGGUGGACAUUUAGAGGAAAACAAGUGUCUCAAAUAUAUAUUAAGAAAAAAGAUUAGCUAUGCCAACAUAUGUUAGCAUCUCUUGAUGUCCAAAGUGCUGUUGGCAUUACAGAAAAUGAAAAAGCAGUGACAUCAUUUACAGCUGAGGCUGAGGGAGGUUAUCUUCUUUGAAUUUAUGGGAAGGCAAGUAUCGUGACCUAUGCAAAAAAUAUUUUUGGAAUUAUAUAAUGCUAACUCAGUCAUACAAAUGCCUUAUAAAAAGUCAAAUUUGGAAGUAAGCACAAGUUUUGAUAAUACUAAUAUAGUUGUAUUUAGAGCGGUCUUUGAAGUUGACUCACUGUGAAUUCAUUUUUGCAGGCAGCGUUAUUAGUGUUGAGUAUCAUGUGGCUAUUCAUUACUGUAUGCGUUUAAAAUCUGAUGCAGAUGCAAAAAUCAUUAAAACUUUUGGAAUUACGAAUAAUGAAAUGUUUCAGUCUCUCAAUGUGGACAAAUUUAAUAUCUGCCACUGUUUUAAGUGGGAAUACUGCCAGUGGAAGUGUAGUUUUAUGAGAGAAGUUUGAUUUAAUAAUCAACAUUUUUGCUUGCUUUAUGUAGGAGACAGUUCUUCGUGUACAUGGUUCCAUCUUCCUCUACUGGGUAGAAAAAAUACUGGGCAGCGUUGUUUUCUGCGUGUGCUUUUCCUGGAGGAUUUGUGUUUGGAAGGCUGCUCUUCUCUAGUAAUUAAUGUAUUAUUAUUACUCUGGAGCUACAAGCAAAUUGUGAACCUCAGCAAAGGUCCCUUGAACCAGACAUUUUCUCUGCUGUGUCAUGACAUUGAACAGUACGUCAAAUAGCAGUUCAAGACAGGCACUGUUGUCACGUCUUUCUGCACUUCCGUUUAAGUGGAUGGCUUGGGGGUGGAAACCCAAAGGAGUGCUUCCUACUGCACGGCAGCAGUCUAUAUUCGUAUGUACAGCAGGCAAUGGCUCUCCUACUGAUACAAUGGAAGAAAAUACAAAAAUUUGUAGAAAUG